rnacentral:rRNA from 1 species
UACAGAGGGGGCAAGCGUUGUUCGGAAUUACUGGGCGUAAAGGGCGCGUAGGCGGCCUUCUAAGUCGAACGUGAAAUCCCCGGGCUCAACCCGGGAACUGCAUCCGAUACUGGAAGGCUUGAAUCCGGGAGAGGGAUGCGGAAUUCCACGUGUAGCGGUGAAAUGCGUAGAGAUGUGGAGGAACACCGAUGGCGAAGGCAGCCUUCUGGGCCAACACUGACGCUCAUGCACGAAAGCGUGGGGAGCAAACAGG